UACGGGGGGGGCAAGCGUUGUUCGGAAUUACUGGGCGUAAAGGGCUCGUAGGCGGCCAACUAAGUCGGAUGUGAAAUCCCCAGGCUUAACCUGGGAACUGCAUCCGAUACUGGAUGGCUUGAAUCCGGGAGAGGGAUGCAGAAUUCCAGGUGUAGCGGUGAAAUGCGUAGAUAUCUGGAGGAAUACCGGUGGCGAAGGCGGCAUCCUGGACCGGCACUGACGCUGAGUGAGCGAAAGCUAGGGGAGCAAACGGG
rnacentral:rRNA from 1 species